AGAGUUUGAUCCUGGCUCAGGACGAACGCUGGCGGCGCGCCUAACACAUGCAAGUCGAACGAGCGAGAGAGAGCUUGCUUUCUCGAGCGAGUGGCGAACGGGUGAGUAACGCGUGAGGAACCUGCCUCAAAGAGGGGGACAACAGUUGGAAACGACUGCUAAUACCGCAUAAGCCCACAGCUCGGCAUCGAGCAGAGGGAAAAGGAGCAAUCCGCUUUGAGAUGGCCUCGCGUCCGAUUAGCUAGUUGGUGAGGUAACGGCCCACCAAGGCGACGAUCGGUAGCCGGACUGAGAGGUUGAACGGCCACAUUGGGACUGAGACACGGCCCAGACUCCUACGGGAGGCAGCAGUGGGGAAUAUUGCACAAUGGGGGAAACCCUGAUGCAGCGACGCCGCGUGGAGGAAGAAGGUCUUCGGAUUGUAAACUCCUGCUGUUGAGGAAGAUAAUGACGGUACUCAACAAGGAAGUGACGGCUAACUACGUGCCAGCAGCCGCGGUAAAACGUAGGUCACAAGCGUUGUCCGGAAUUACUGGGUGUAAAGGGAGCGCAGGCGGGAAGGCAAGUUGGAAGUGAAAUCCAUGGGCUCAACCCAUGAACUGCUUUCAAAACUGUUUUUCUUGAGUAGUGCAGAGGUAGGCGGAAUUCCCGGUGUAGCGGUGGAAUGCGUACAUAUCGGGAGGAACACCAGUGGCGAAGGCGGCCUACUGGGCACCAACUGACGCUGAGGCUCGAAAGUGUGGGUAGCAAACAGGAUUAGAUACCCUGGUAGUCCACACUGUAAACGAUGAUUACUAGGUGUUGGAGGAUUGACCCCUUCAGUGCCGCAGUUAACACAAUAAGUAAUCCACCUGGGGAGUACGACCGCAAGGUUGAAACUCAAAGGAAUUGACGGGGCCCGCACAAGCAGUGGAGUAUGUGGUUUAAUUCGACGCAACGCGAAGAACCUUACCAAGUCUUGACAUCCUGCGACGCACAUAGAAAUAUGUGUUUCCUUCGGGACGCAGAGACAGGUGGUGCAUGGUUGUCGUCAGCUCGUGUCGUGAGAUGUUGGGUUAAGUCCCGCAACGAGCGCAACCCUUAUGGUCAGUUACUACGCAAGAGGACUCUGGCCAGACUGCCGUUGACAAAACGGAGGAAGGUGGGGAUGACGUCAAAUCAUCAUGCCCUUUAUGACUUGGGCUACACACGUACUACAAUGGCGUUAAACAAAGAGAAGCAAGACCGCGAGGUGGAGCAAAACUCAGAAACAACGUCCCAGUUCGGACUGCAGGCUGCAACUCGCCUGCACGAAGUCGGAAUUGCUAGUAAUCGCAGAUCAGCAUGCUGCGGUGAAUACGUUCNCCGGGCCUUGUACACACGGCCCGUC
rnacentral:rRNA from 1 species